rnacentral:rRNA from 1 species
ACUCAAAUGAAUUGACGGGGGCCCGCACAAGCGGUGGAGCAUGUUGCUUAAUUCGUCACUAACCGAAGAACCUUACCAGGGUUUGACAUCCUCCGCAAGUCCAUGAAAGUGGUACCCCCUGCAGCAAUGCAGGCGGAGAGACAGGUGUUGCAUGGCUGUCGUCAGCUCGUGUCGUGAGAUGUUGGGUUAAGUCCCGCAACGAGCGCAACCCUCAUCAGAUGUUGCCAGCGUAAAGUCGGGAACUCUUCUGAAACUGCCCGUGUAAGCGGGAGGAAGGUGAGGAUGACGUCAAGUCGGCAUGGCCCUUAUGCCCUGGGCUGCAAACAUGCUACAAUGGUCGUUAACAAAGGGACGCAAUGCGGCGACGCGGAGCUAAUCUCAAAAAUACGGCCUCAGUUGGGAUCGUAGUCUGCAACUCGACUACGUGAACGUGGAAUCGCUAGUAACCGCAGGUCAGCUAAACUGCGGUGAAUACGUUCCCGGGCCUUGUACACACCGCCCGU